UAAAAAGUCAUGGGUCUUGGUGGUGAAAUUUGCACGGGUUCCUUUCCAACUUCUCUAUAUAACCAUAUCAACAAGGUUGGUAUAUGCCUCACUACUCGUAAAAAGAUAGGGUUUCUAGGUGCCCCUAUCAUCUCCUCUUGGGUUAGUUAAGCACUUGAGUUGAGUUGGAUCGGAUCGGACUUUCGGAGUAGUUCUUACUUUCCAUUUACAGUAGGAUCGGUUUCGAAUAUAUACUUGAGCUAGGAUGAGAUGAGAUGCAUGAGUGCUACUAGAUCUAUAAGCUAAUAUAUAUAUAUGGCUCCUCCUUAUAAUCUAAUCACAGUUUUAAUUAUGAUAGUCAAGGAACCCAUCUGGCUGCAGUGGUAUAACCGAGCUAGGUGCUGCAGCUCUAUAUAACGCGUUAUGCGAUCUCCACUAUCUCUCAAUCAACAUUCAUUAGUUUGGCUUGUAGAUCCGGAUCACAUAUCACUUAUCAGUACAGUGUUGCUCCAAAUUCAUUUUAUUUUUUAGUUGCAGUUAUUAACUAGUUGUUCGCCUUUAAACAACAUUUGUUUUAUUCAUACGUGCCGAGUUAAUAAUGUAUGCUUUUAUCUGGUUGUCCGAUAAAGUGAUAACUUGAUAAAUUUGGUAUUGUUGUUGCCGAUUUAGGGCGGUAUAUUGAUGUAUUGAUAUUAGGUUUAAUAUUGCAUAUUUGCAUCGAAAUUGUUUGCCAAUAAAAAAAAUUAGCCAAAAA